rnacentral:rRNA from 1 species
GAGGAGACCAUUCGGUCUAUGUUUUGCAUAGUACUGACUUGGUCGAAUCUUUUUUCUGGGGAGUUCAACAUCAUCUUUACUGCAUGGUGUUGAGGAACCAGGACGAUUACCUUGAGAAAAAUAGAGUGUUCAAAGCAGGCUUAUAUGCUUGAAUACGUUAGCAUGGAAUAAUAAAAUAGGACUUUGGUUCUAUUUUGUUGGUUUUAAGGACCAAUGUC